GAGGGAAUGACUACGGUGGUUACGGUGAGAGAUUUUAGUGUUUUAUUUGAUGCAUAUUCACAGUUUGAAGAGAGUAUGGUUGCGCAUAAGAUGGAGAAUUUGGACUUGAGUGAUGAGGAAGAGGAUGUGNNNNNNNGCAGGAUGAAGAUGUUCGUUUGGAAGUGAAUUCUAAGUUUGAGAAGAAGAUACUUAGUGGGUUUUGGUUACAUGAUGAUAAUGAUGUGGAUUUGAUGUUGGCCCG
rnacentral:misc_RNA from 1 species